rnacentral:rRNA from 1 species
UUUGGGCGUGUCUCCCUUCUCGGGAGACUCUCUCAACCCCCACGAACCCUUGACCUCAAAUCGGGUGAGACUACCCGCUGAACUUAAGCAUAUCAAUAAGCGGAGGAAAAGAAACUAACAAGGAUUCCCCUAGUAACUGCGAGUGAAGCGGGAAAAGCUCAAAUUUAAAAUCUGGCGGUCUCUGG